AGCACAUUUAGUUAGUUUAUCUCUCUUUUGGAGUAAAAGACGCCAUGUUUUUUUCGAAAGCAUAUAGAAAAGUAAAACAAAAUGGCGGCCGUGUCGAUAGAAACCGGUAGCGAUACGAAGCGAUACUUCUUCGUUUCUCUAAUAAUAGAGUAGUGGCGUGUUAUUUCUCGAUUAAAUGCUGUCUAAGAUUUGAGAAAGAAGCAAGGGCGUUCCUUGAAAAGUAAAGGGAAAUGAGGAACGAGCACAUUUGAGAAACAUCCUGACUGAUCGCUGUGCCAGACAGUUCGCUCAUUGAAAGUCAAUGGGAAAUAGAAAGCCAUCGCAGGGGAGAGAAACUUCUCGGAGCAUAUAGCGGCUGGAACGACAGGAAGAAACGAGAAUGUUUAGCGUCCUGUACCUACUAGGAUUUUUCAACCCUUUCUUGCGCAUCGCCACACUAAUUGCUUUAAUUGCACGGGGAAUGUAACCACGCCACGCAGAAUGAGGCCUUAACGUUCUGACCUGGCAAAAAGAUCCUGACCAUCGCGCACCAGCCUUGCUUUCCACUCGUUCUUCCAAUAACUGCUCUCGUCACUUCACGAAAAUCAGGAAUCAGAAGCACGUGGAGGCAAAGUGAUAUCACCGCUGCUAUGAACAGUGCUCCAGUUCG